GGAGGUAUAGCUUAGUGGUAGAGGAUGCACCUAGCAUGCACAAGGUCUUGGGUUCAAUCCCCAGUACCUCUA
rnacentral:tRNA from 1 species